rnacentral:rRNA from 1 species
UACGUAGGGGGGCUAGCGUUGUCCGGAAUUACUGGGCGUAAAGCGUGCGUAGACGGUUAUUUAAGUCGGGUGUGAAAGCCCCGGGCUCAACCUGGGAAUUGCAUUCGAGACUGAAUAGCUAGGGUACGGUAGAGGGAAGCGGAAUUUCCGGUGUAGCGGUGAAAUGCGUAGAUAUCGGAAGAACAUCAGUGGCGAAAGCGGCUUCCUGGACCAGUACCGACGUCAGGCACAAGCGU